rfam:Blastomyces dermatitidis ER-3 genomic scaffold supercont1.5, whole genome shotgun sequence.
GCCCCCGUAGCCCAAUGGUAGGGCGUCAGACUUCUAUCUAUGUCCAGGAAGCUCCGGGAGAGUUUAUCUGAAGGUUGCGGGUUCGAGCCCCGCCGGGGGUG